rnacentral:lncRNA from 1 species
AGACGCCGAGAAGGGGCUGGAGAAAGCAGGCAGCAACGCUAGGCCGCGGGGCAGAGCCGCGGUUCGGACUCUCUCUUCCCCGGCGCUCCGAGCUGCGGAAGCCCAGGCCGUCCGCCGCUCCCCGGCGCACGCGGCCGCGCCUCGCCGCCCUCCCCGAGUUUGCCAUCUCCGUACCACCACCACCACCACACACAGCACCCUCAAGACUCCCUGUGAUCCUGGGAUGCACUCAACGAAGAGUGUGUGGCCCAGGAUUUGAUGGAAAUGCUACAAGAGAAGCAGGCUCUCCCCUUCUGAAAUGAUGAGUGAUAAUGACCAUACAGGUCAACUUUUCCACCACUUGGAGGGAGCCUGUCAAAGAACAAAGGCAACAGAGAAGAGAGCAGAGCUGAGGUUGGGUGAGAGGGAGAAAUUCCUGAGUGCUUGAAUCCCACAUGCCGGAAGCCGCACCACACUUGGACUUCUCAAUACAGGAGCCACUCUGCAGGCAUUUAUUGGCAGGCUACACCUAAGACUUUCUCUGCAGAAAAAUGUUCUAGAUGCACAGAUUUGGGGGCUUGAUUGACAACCUGACACCUCACUCUAAAUCCGCAUGGGUCUGUUGACCUCAGGUGAGAACACUUGUUCUAAGGGAGUGGAAGGUCUUUAUUAAGAUAACCCUGAGAAAUAAAAGUCUGCCUUGAGCAUUGUAUGGGA